rnacentral:rRNA from 1 species
UACGGGGGGGGCAAGCGUUGUUCGGAAUUACUGGGCGUAAAGGGCUCGUAGGCGGCCAACUAAGUCAUACGUGAAAUCCCUACGGCUUAACCGGGGAACUGCGUCUGAUACUGGAUGGCUUGAGUUCGGGAGAGGGAUGCGGAAUUCCAGGUGUAGCGGUGAAAUGCGUAGAUAUCUGGAGGAACACCGGUGGCGAAGGCGGCAUCCUGGACCGACACUGACGCUGAGGAGCGAAAGCCAGGGGAGCAAAGCGGGAUUAA